rnacentral:rRNA from 1 species
CACGUAGGGGGCGAGCGUUGUCCGGAUUUAUUGGGCGUAAAGAGCUCGUAGGCGGCUCGGUAAGUCGGGUGUGAAAACUCUAGGCUCAACCUAGAGACGCCACCUGAUACUGCCGUGGCUAGAGUCCGGUAGGGGAGCAUGGAAUUCCUGGUGUAGCGGUGAAAUGCGCAGAUAUCAGGAGGAACACCAGUGGCGAAGGCGGUGCUCUGGGCCGGAACUGACGCUGAGGAGCGAAAGCGUGGGGAGCAAACAGG